GACGAACGCUGGCGGCGUGCUUAACACAUGCAAGUCGAACGGAAAGGCCCUGCUUUUGUGGGGUGCUCGAGUGGCGAACGGGUGAGUAACACGUGAGUAACCUGCCCUUUACUUUGGGAUAACUUCAGGAAACUGGGGCUAAUACCGGUUAGUAGCUCCUGCUGCAUGGUGUGGGUUGGAAAGUUUCGGCGGUUGGGGAUGGACUUGGGGCUUAUCAGCUUGUUGGUGGGGUAGUGGCUUACCAAGGCGUUGACGGGUAGCCGGCCUGAGAGUGUGACCGGCGACAUUGGGACUGAGAUACGGCCCAGACUCCGACGGGAGGCAGAAGUGGGGAAUAUUGCACAAUGGGCGGAAGCCUGAUGCAGCAACGCCGCGUGCGGGAUGACGGCCUUCGGGUUGUAAACCGCUUUCGCCUGUGACGAAGCGUGAGUGACGGUAAUGGGUAAAGAAGCACCGGCUAACUACGUG
rnacentral:rRNA from 1 species